GAUGAACGCUGGCGGCGUGCCUAAUACAUGCAAGUCGAGCGAACAGACGAGGAGCUUGCUCCCCUGACGUUAGCGGCGGACGGGCGAGUAACACGUGGAUAACCAACCUAUAAGACGGGGGUAACUUCGGGAAACCGGAGCUAAUAACGGAGAAUAUAUUGAACCGCAGGGUUCAAUAGUGAAAGGCGGUUUUGCUGUCACUUAUAGAUGGAUCCGCGCCGCAUUAGCUAGUUGGUAAGGUAACGGCCUACCAAGGCAACGAUGCGUAGCCGACCUGAGAGGAUGAUCAGCCACACUGGAACUGAGACACGGUCCAGACUCCUACGGGAGGCAGCAGUAGGGAAUCUUCCGCAAUGGGCGAAAGCCUGAUGCAGCCAUGCCGCGUGAGUGAUGAAGGUCUUCGGAUCGUAAAGCUCUUUUAUUAGGGAAGAACAACUGUGUGAGUAACUAUGCACGUCUUGACGGUACCUAAUCAGAAAGCCCCGGCUAACUACGUG
rnacentral:rRNA from 1 species